rnacentral:lncRNA from 1 species
UAUCCCCUAUCAUCCACUGUUGUGAAUAAUCAAGGUUUAGGUAACAAAUAGAACAUUGUUGCAAGAAAGCAUUUGAACUCUCAAUGGUUAUUUAUUCAUUCUGACAUAUACAGAAACAUUUAUUCCUCUUUCCCAAAUACAGAAACAAUGAAAUUCAGGAAAAGACUUGGGUACCUAAAUUAAGGCAAAAUACCAAGAUUGAGAGCAGACCCUGAAGUCCACAGCCAACCUUUCCCAGACAUUCUCUUUAGACCUCUAUGGAUGUCAACAUAGCAGACUUACUCAGGUUAGGCAAAUGUAUGGGAACUGCUGAAUCAUGGACUGAGACCCUGACUGAUCACCUGAGGUGAGCACUGAGUCAGCUGUGGGAGCACAGGUGAGGGCAAUUCAGAAGGGGUGGAGCCUGGCUGCACCUCUCCUAAACCCAUUUAAGGGCUGACUGCCACUGAAGAAGGAUCUCUUUCUCUGGAGAUUGCUCCUUGUGGAGUUUUCUGUGAGCCUAUAACAAUG